UUUAAAAUUAAAAAAAUAAGACCACCAUCAAUGGUGGGAGGAGGCGUCAUCAUGGAAGCGAUCACCAACAAUAGUACCGAGCUGCUGUUGCUUAGUAGAGCGUCGUACAUACGUAGUCUCUCCCACGCUGACAACAAGCUCAGGAGUUUCCGGUCCAACCUCAAGUAGAUGUGCGUCAACCAAUUCGACGUUAAGUAUGCAAUAG
rnacentral:lncRNA from 1 species